AUUGAAACACCAGUUCACAUAUGACCACCAAAGUUAAGCAAUGUCAAACCUGGUCAGUACCUAGAUGAGUGACUACUUGGGAAUACCAUGUGCUGUAAG